ACAGGUCUUCGGAUGCUGACGAGUGGCGAACGGGUGAGUAAUACAUCGGAACGUGCCCAGUAAUGGGGGAUAGCUCGGCGAAAGCCGGAUUAAUACCGCAUACGCCCUGAGGGGGAAAGUGGGGGAUCGCAAGACCUCACGUUAUUGGAGCGGCCGAUGGCUGAUUAGCUAGUUGGUAGGGUAAAGGCCUACCAAGGCGACGAUCAGUAGCUGGUCUGAGAGGACGAUCAGCCACACUGGGACUGAGACACGGCCCAGACUCCUACGGGAGGCAGCAGUGGGGAAUUUUGGACAAUGGGGGAAACCCUGAUCCAGCAAUGCCGCGUGUGCGAAGAAGGCCUUCGGGUUGUAAAGCACUUUUGUCAGGGAAGAAAUCCUUUGGGCUAAUACCCUAGGGGGAUGACGGUACCUGAAGAAUAAGCACCGGCUAACUACGUGCCAGCAGCCGCGGUAAUACGUAGGGUGCAAGCGUUAAUCGGAAUUACUGGGCGUAAAGCGUGCGCAGGCGGUUGUGUAAGACAGGUGUGAAAUCCCCGGGCUUAACCUGGGAAUUGCAUUUGUGACUGCACGACUAGAGUGUGUCAGAGGGGGGUGGAAUUCCACGUGUAGCAGUGAAAUGCGUAGAUAUGUGGAGGAACACCAAUGGCGAAGGCGGCCCCCUGGGAUAACACUGACGCUCAUGCACGAA
rnacentral:rRNA from 1 species